AGCAGUCGCCGCGGGAAUACGUAGGGUGCGAGCGUUAAUCGGAAUUACUGGGCGUAAAGCGUGCGCAGGCGGUUGUGUAAGACAGGUGUGAAAUCCCCGGGCUUAACCUGGGAACUGCGCUUGUGACUGCACAGCUAGAGUAUGGCAGAGGGGGGUGGAAUUCCACGUGUAGCAGUGAAAUGCGUAGAGAUGUGGAGGAACACCGAUGGCGAAGGCAGCCCCCUGGGCCAAUACUGACGCUCAUGCACGAAAGCGUGGGGAGCAAACAGGAUUAGAUACCCGUGUAGUCCCUGUCUCUUAUAC
rnacentral:rRNA from 1 species